rnacentral:rRNA from 1 species
CCUACGUGUGGCAGCAGUGGGGAAUAUUGCACAAUGGGGGAAACCCUGAUGCAGCGACGCCGCGUGAGUGAAGAAGUAUUUCGGUAUGUAAAGCUCUAUCAGCAGGGAAGAAAAUGACGGUACCUGAUUAAGAAGCCCCGGCUAACUACGUGCCAACAGCCGCGGUAAUACGUAGGGGGCAAGCGUUAUCCGGAUUUACUGGGUGUAAAGGGAGCGUAGACGGCAGCACAAGUCUGGAGUGAAAUGCCGGGGCUUAACCCCGGAACUGCUUUGGAAACUGUGCAGCUAGAGGGCAGGAGAGGUAGGUGGAAGUCCGAGGGUAGGGGUGAAAUGGGUAGAUAUUAGGAGGAACACCGGUGGCGAGGGCGGCUUACUGGACUGUAACGGACGUUGAGGCUCGAAAGCGUGGGGAGCAAACAGGAUGAGAUACCCGGGUAGUC